rnacentral:lncRNA from 1 species
GGCGAGACACACCCGCCAAAUUCUGGACAACGGCGCGAUACACGUGGCAGCAUGAGCGAGAGUGGUGCUCUUUCCUACUCGCGGCGUGUGUCGAAUACGCCGCACUCGCAACCUUUACAUUUCAGGUAGGCCCCACAGGAUUCCCCAUAUCAUCAUCGUCAUCCCAGAUUUCUCCGAGUGUAAUUUUUUUUUUUUAACCUCUCAAAUGUGAUUUCGCAGUGGCGGUGGCGUAAAGAGCAGAGGCGGUGAUGAAGGCUGACAGGGAUGGGAGAGUGACGCCGCCGUGAGUUAACGGAGAACGAGGCGUUCGGCGAGCG